GGGCCCGUAGCUCAGCCAGGUAGAGCGGCGGACCCAACUCCAAGGGGCCGAUGCUCCAGUCCUAAAAGUAUAGUACGGGUCUGUAGACCGUAAGGGAUGAUAGAGGUUAGGGUUUGAGAGACCCGUAGGUCGGGGGUUCAAAUCCCCCCGGGCCCACCA
rnacentral:tRNA from 1 species